UACGUAGGGUGCAAGCGUUAUUCGGAAUUACUGGGCGUAAAGCGUGCGCAGGCGGUCUUGCAAGACAGAUGUGAAAUCCCCGGGCUUAACCUGGGAACUGCAUUUGUGACUGCAAGGCUGGAGUACGGAAGAGGGGGAUGGAAUUCCGCGUGUAGCAGUGAAAUGCGUAGAUAUGCGGAGGAACACCGAUGGCGAAGGCAAUCCCCUGGGACUGUACUGACGCUCAUGCACGAAAGCGUGGGGAGCAAACAGG
rnacentral:rRNA from 1 species